AUACGGAUGGUGCGAGCGUUGUUCGGAAUUACUGGGCGUAAAGGGCGCGUAGGCGGCGAUGUAAGUCAAAUGUGAAAGUCCUCGGCUUAACCGGGGAAGUGCAUCUGAAACUGCAUUGCUUGAGUAUGGGAGAGGAAAGUGGAAUUCCCGGUGUAGAGGUGAAAUUCGUAGAGAUCGGGAGGAAUACCGGUGGCGAAGGCGACUUUCUGGACCAAUACUGACGCUGAGGCGCGAAAGCGUGGGAGCAAACAGGAUUAGAAACCCCAGUAGUCC
rnacentral:rRNA from 1 species